rnacentral:rRNA from 1 species
GCCUGAUGGAGGGGGAUAACUACUGGAAACGGUAGCUAAUACCGCAUAAUGUCGCAAGACCAAAGUGGGGGACCUUCGGGCCUCAUGCCAUCAGAUGUGCCCAGAUGGGAUUAGCUUGUAGGUGGGGUAACGGCUCACCUAGGCGACGAUCCCUAGCUGGUCUGAGAGGAUGACCAGCCACACUGGAACUGAGACACGGUCCAGACUCCUACGGGAGGCAGCAGUGGGGAAUAUUGCACAAUGGGCGCAAGCCUGAUGCAGCCAUGCCGCGUGUGUGAAGAAGGCCUUCGGGUUGUAAAGCACUUUCAGCGGGGAGGAAGGCGGUGAGGUUAAUAACCUCAUCGAUUGACGUUACCCGCAGAAGAAGCACCGGCUAACUCCGUGCCAGCAGCCGCGGUAAUACGGAGGGUGCAAGCGUUAAUCGGAAUUACUGGGCGUAAAGCGCACGCAGGCGGUCUGUCAAGUCGGAUGUGAAAUCC